AAGAGAAUGAAAAACUUGAGAAGGCUUUGAGGGCCGCAUAUCAGUGUAAUGAAAAGCAGUGUGAAGAACUGAAGAAGAAUACACCGGAGAGAAAGAAACUCGUGGCGGAAUUAUUAACUCUCAGACGUCAGCUGACCCACAUGACAGAGAACAAGGAGCGACUCCAAGUAAAAUGCAAUCACCUGGAAUGCGAGCUCGCCCAGUCACCGCAACACUCAACUCCCAACAACACAAAUAGCGGACAUGGCAAG